UACGUAGGGGGCAAGCGUUGUCCGGAAUUAUUGGGCGUAAAGAGCGCGUAGGCGGUCCGGUAAGUCGGUUGUGAAAGUCGGGGGCUCAACCCUCGGAUGCCGAUCGAUACUGUCGGGCUAGAGUCCGGAAGAGGCGAGUGGAAUUCCUGGUGUAGCGGUGAAAUGCGCAGAUAUCAGGAGGAACACCACUGGCGAAGGCAGCUCGCUGGGACGGUACUGACGCUGAGGCGCGAAAGCGUGGGGAGCAAACAGG
rnacentral:rRNA from 1 species